rnacentral:rRNA from 1 species
CAGUCGCCACGGGAAUACGUAGGUGGCAAGCGUUGUCCGGAAUUAUUGGGCGUAAAGCGCGCGCAGGCGGAUCAGUUAGUCUGUCUUAAAAGUUCGGGGCUUAACCCCGUGAUGGGAUGGAAACUGCUGAUCUAGAGUAUCGGAGAGGAAAGUGGAAUUCCUAGUGUAGCGAUGAAAUGCGUAGAUAUUAGGAAGAACACCAGUGGCGAAGGCGACUUUCUGGACGAAAACUGACGCUGAGGCGCGAAAGCCAGGGGAGCGAACGGGAUUAGAUACCCGGGUAGUCCCUGUCUCUUAUACA